AAUAAAAAAAAUCAACAAAUGUUUAUUUCCUGUAAAUACGGCGGUGAAGUUAGUUUCAGGUUGGAUAUAUUUUCCUGUAAAUACGGCGGCGAAGUUAGUUUCAGGUUGGAUAUAUUUUCCUGUAAAUACGGCGGUGAAGUUAGUUUUAGGUUGGAUAUAUUUUCCUGUAAAUACGGCGGUGAAGUUAGUUUCAGGUUGGAUAUAUUUUCCUGUAAAUACAGCGGUGAAGUUAGUUUCAGGUUGGAUAUAUUUUCCUGUAAAUACGGCGGUGAAGUUAGUUUCAGGUUGGAUAUAUUUUCCUGUAAAUACGGCGGCGAAGUUAGUUUCAGGUUGGAUAUAUUUUCCUGUAAAUACGGCGGUGAAGUUAGUUUCAGGUUGGAUAUAUUUUCCUGUAAAUACGGCGGUGAAGUUAGUUUUAGGUUGGAUAUAUUUCCCUGUAAAUGCGGCGGUGAAGUUAGUUUUAGGUUGGAUAUAUUUUCCUGUAAAUACGGCGGUGAAGUUAGUUUCAGGUUGGAUAUCUGACGGACAUUCUCUGAGGAUCUACCGGUGUCUUCUCACUCUCCAUAACCGGGAAUAACAACAGCAGUGCGGUUAAAUCUACUCGACACCCUCACUGUCAACGUCGGUGUUGAAUAAGGGACCGUCAAUAAAUUACCGGUUGAUGUUCUCAGAAAAGGCUGUUUUCCUUCAAUAGCUUCACUGUCAUGUGAACAAAAGACCUAAAAUUGAUUUCUAAUAAUAGUACUAAGGUCGAUCAAUAAG